AUUGAACGCUGGCGGCAGGCCUAACACAUGCAAGUCGAACGAGUGGCGGACGGGUGUGCAAUGUCUGGGCAACUGCCUGAUGGCGGGGGAUCACUACUGGAAACGGUAGCUAAUACCGCAUACCAUCAGAUGUGCCCAGAGGGGAUUGUCUUGUUGGUGGGGUAACGGCUCACCAAGGCGACGAUCCCUAGCUGGUCUGAGAGGAUGACCAGCCACACUGGAACUGAGACAAGGUGCAGACUCCUACGGGAGGCAGCAGUGGGGAAUAUUGCACAAUGGGAGGAAGCCUGAUGCAGCCAUGCCGAGUGUAUGAAGAAGGCCUUCGGGUGGUAAAGUACUUUCAGCGGGGAGGCGUUACCCGCAGAAGAAGCACCGGCUAACUCCGUGCCAGCAGCCGGGGUAAUAC
rnacentral:rRNA from 1 species